rnacentral:rRNA from 1 species
AGGACGAACGCUGGCGGCGUGCUUAACACAUGCAAGUCGAGGGCAUUUGGGGGCAACUCCAGGUGACCGGCGAACGGGUGCGUAACACGUGAGCGACCUGCCGUACCUGUGGGGGAUAGCCGGCCCAACGGCCGGGUAAUACCGCAUACGAUCGUUUGGGGGCAUCCCUGGGCGACGAAAGCUUGGCGCAAGUCAGGCGCAGGACGAGGGGCUCGCGGCCUAUCAGCUAGUUGGCGGGUAACGGCCCACCAAGGCGACGACGGGUAGCUGGU